rnacentral:rRNA from 1 species
CGGGACACGUGGUAUCCUGUCUGAAUAUGGGGGGACCAUCCUCCAAGGCUAAAUACUCCUGACUGACCGAUAGUGAACCAGUACCGUGAGGGAAAGGCGAAAAGAACCCCGGCGAGGGGAGUGAAAAAGAACCUGAAACCGUGUACGUACAAGCAGUGGGAGCCUCUUUUAUGGGGUGACUGCGUACCUUUUGUAUAAUGGGUCAGCGACUUAUAUUCUGUAGCAAGGUUAACCGAAUAGGGGAGCCGAAGGGAAACCGAGUCUUAACUGGGCGUUAAGUUGCAGGGUAUAGACCCGAAACCCGGUGAUCUAGCCAUGGGCAGGUUGAAGGUUGGGUAACACUAACUGGAGGACCGAACCGACUAAUGUUGAAAAAUUAGCGGAUGACUUGUGGCUGGGGGUGAAAGGCCAAUCAAACCGGGAGAUAGCUGGUUCUCCCCGAAAGCU